UCUUCCUGUCAUCAUCAGAUGCUCUGUGGCACAGCCUGCCUGGCGUUCCGCUCGGUCACCCAUAGCCCCCAGCUCUGGUGGGGGUACGGCUUUUAGCAUUAUUGUUCUGUAACGUGUCCAAAAAGCUGCCUGUGACCCGUGUGGAUAGACACACAUGAACAAGCCUGCACAGAUAGGCCCAAUGUCUUUCCAAAAUCUCUGUGCGUCAUCCUUUUUGUUUUCAGUGCCAAAUGCUUUAUUGGGUUCUUUCUGGAUUCUGCGUCGCAUCAAUGCACUGUGACUCAGGCAAGAAUUAGCACAAAGGCGAUGAAUUUGGCUCGGAUUCAUGACAAACAAAAGCUCCAGAAGUUUUGGGAGCAGAAGAUUGAGAGACACCAUCAGAUGACUGGGAAAGAGGAAGCUCGAAUGAAGAGGAGUGCUUUAUCAAAGUUACGUAAGGAGUGGAUCCAGAGACUGCAGAUCCAGAGUCAGACUGGGAAUGGAAGUAUGAAUACAGAGGAAAUGAAAAAUACAUUAAAAUAGAAAACUCAAUUCUGA